AUGGAUGGAAGCUUCAUGGGGCUUCAGAGAAGGAGGCGUCAGCAGGGAGAGUGUGCGGAGGAGGCAAGGACAGUCAGAGCCCAGAUCUCCACGCAGGGCACUCGACAUGGAUCAACCCAUUACUCCCAUGGGCCGCACUCCCCGCCGGCCCUAAGACCUGCCCGCCUGGCACCUGCCAGUGGCCCUGCCAUUCCUCCUCAGGCAGGGCUCAGGGUCUCACAAAAUGAGCCAAUAGAAGGGAGCCCGCUGACAUGCACCUGGAGGGAAACAGCAAAUCAGUUCUUAGGGUCAAGGGACUCUUUUUGGAAAACAAAGCUGCAAGCGACUCCACUUCUAGGCAUGUGCCGGAGAGAACUGAACCCGUGUUCGCCCAAAGGGGAACAGGAGUGUCAGAGUGGCAUUAUUCCCACUCACGUCCACCAGCCGACGAAGGGCUAAACCAAGGGCCCUAGCUCCCUCCAAGCAGGUGUACGGCCAUACAGAGGAACGAAGCCCUGACACCUGCUACGAGACAGAGGAACCUCGCAAACACGAGGCUCAGAGAAGGAGCCAGAGCAGAAGACCACAUGGUGGAAGAUUCCACUUCUACGGGAUGUCCAGAACAGGCAAAUCCACGGAGGCCGAAAGCAGACAAGUGGUCCCCAGGGGCUGGGGUGGGGGAUGAGGGGUGACUGAUAUUUAUAUAAUCAUUCCUUUUUGGGGUCAUGAGAAUGUUCUGGAGCUGGAUACAGGUGAUGGUCGCACCCCUUUGUGAAUCUGCUAAAACCACCAUAGUGUCACCAUAGUGUCAUAGUUUGAAAGAGUGAAUUUUAUGGCGUGUGAAUUUUAUCUCAGCCUUUAAAAGCUGCAACAUCAUCAUUAUGCCUUAAAACAAUGGCUCAUUAUCCUUAGCGUUAGGCGGAUUGCCCCGAACCCCUUCAGGGCCCAUCCCUUAAUUGUCCCAGAAAUACUUUUACUGCCCGUGGCUGUUUGAAUCCCGUCCUAGUAAGGGAUCAAGGCAUGGGGGGACUGCCCUCAGGAGGGCUGUGUGUGAUCAACCCCUGGAUAAAUCUCUUUAAACCAGAAGGUUCUUCUUCCCAGCUGUUUUCUUGAAACAUGUUUGUGGAGGGACCCAGGCCCUCUGCCCUCUGCAGGUUCCCACGGUCUGUGUUCUGUUGCAACCCUGGGGUGGAGGACCCCGCAUCCUCAGCCUGCCUGGCACCCAGGCGGGCCACCCCAUUCCCGCCCCAGGGGCAGCUGGUGAGACCGCAGACAUCUCACUGCAGAGCUGGGGCGGGGGCAGAGCGGGUGCUGGGUGAACGGGAAGGGCUAGGCCUUAUCUGUAAACCGUUUGCUGAGUGAAUGGGGGCGGCUGCCUGAGACCAGGAGGUCCCCAACAAACAAGACCCUUGCCAGGCCCUUACCUUUCCACUGAGCGGGGAUUGGCCAGAGCGCCACC
rnacentral:lncRNA from 12 species